rnacentral:rRNA from 1 species
CUACGUGACCUGCGGAGGGUCAUUACACAAAUAUGAAGGCGGGCUGGAACCUCUCGGGGUUACAGCCUUGCUGAAUUAUUCACCCUUGUCUUUUGCGUACUUCUUGUUUCCUUGGUGGGUUCGCCCACCACUAGGACAAACAUAAACCUUUUGUAAUUGCAAUCAGCGUCAGUAACAAAUUAAUAAUUACAACUUUCAACAACGGAUCUCUUGGUUCUGGCAUCGAUGAAGAACGCAGCGAAAUGCGAUAAGUAGUGUGAAUUGCAGAAUUCAGUGAAUCAUCGAAUCUUUGAACGCACAUUGCGCCCUUUGGUAUUCCAAAGGGCAUGCCUGUUCGAGCGUCAUUUGUACCCUCAAGCUUUGCUUGGUGUUGGGCGUCUUGUCUCUAGCUUUGCUGGAGACUCGCCUUAAAGUAAUUGGCAGCCGGCCUACUGGUUUCGGAGCGCAGCACAAGUCGCACUCUCUAUCAGCAAAGGUCUAGCAUCCAUUAAGCCUUUUUUUUCAACUUUUGACCUCGGAUCAGGUAGGGAUACCCGCUGAACUUAA